GAGCAAGAAAGGCCUAUUUAAAAUCUCAGUGGGCGAUUGAUACUUCAGGUUCAAGAUGGCAGACUGAGCAUGCAUGUUUUCUUCCUGUGAGGCCCUGUUUUGUACAAUCCAAUGAAAAGCAAGGCCAACAUAAUGUGAAUGGUAUGUUUAAAAGCCAUGUAUAUUUAUGGAUUUAUGAGCACCUGCUUCCAGCCUUUUGAAGUCAAUUUCAGAUUUGAGAUGAAGAAUCUGAGGCACAAAGAGGUCAACUGGCUUGCCCAAGGGUACUUGGCAGAAGGUGAGCUCUGAUAUAGUGCUUUAGUGCACGGACUCAGAAAGUGGAUGAGGAAGAGUGCAAUAUUGGCAGCAGUAUGCAAUUUCCUUUCUUCUUGUGUGUGACAAACAGCAUAACUUCCUCACUAUAAUCUGGUUUGAAAGUUGAGGACACUGCUCUGGCUAGAGAAUUGACUUUGCUGAUGAGCCUCUGGUCAACAUUUUCAGCUAAGACAUUCAUGAAGCUGUGUAAGAGAGAAAGGCUCAUCACCUUUGCAGAUGACACAAGCCUUUUAUGCGGGAAUCAAAGAAGAACAUGAGAGGCCAGAACACCGGAUUGAAACCAGCAAUUUGACCUUUAAAAGGUAUAAAGUACUGCUUUUAGGUUUAAAUAGUUAACUGCACAAGCCAGAGACACACAGCUUGGUAGCACACUUCUAGCAAAAAAUCCUUUGCUUUUAAUUGACUGCAAGAUCAAUUUAUCUCCGAGUAGCCCAUGAGAGCUAAUACAUGAAACCCAAACUUAGCUUUACUAAUUGGUACAUAGUAGGGGUGCUACUCUUUUCUGCUGGUGUGAAAUCAUAACUGAAAUUUUGGACUCAGUUUCUAAUAAAAAUUUAGGAAGAACCUUAAUCAAUUGUAACUGCAGAAAAAAAAUCACAUGAUUUUGAGUGAAUUAAAUAUCAUGUUUUCUCAUUUUAUAAGCUAUGGUUAAAAAACUGGAUAUAUCCCAGAAAAAUGAAUUUUUAGAAAUUCGGUGGAACUGUGAUCUGAGAAAAUGGUUGUGAAAAUGGGA
rnacentral:lncRNA from 1 species